AUUCCAGCUCCAAUAGCGUAUAUUAAAGUUGUUGCGGUUAAAAAGCUCGUAGUUGGAGUUCUGCCAGGUGCCACCUGUCCGCCCCAGUGGUGAGUACGUGGUGCGCAUUUGGCCCUUUCAAGGGGAGCGUAUUUGCACUUAAUUGUGUGGUGCGGGAUCCUUGACUUUUACUUUGAGGAAAUAAGAGUGUUCCAAGCAGGCUCUCGUCGUGCAUAGCUCAGCAUGGAAUAAUAGCAUUGGACCUCGAUUCUAAGCUGUUGGUUGCCAGAAGCGAGGUAAUGAUGAAGAGGGAUAGUUGGGGGCAUUCGUAUUUAACUGUCAGAGGUGAAAUUCUUGGAUUUGUUAAGGAUGAACGACUGCGAAAGCAUUUGCCAAGGAUGCUUUCAUUG
rnacentral:rRNA from 1 species